GCUAAAUACCACACACUGCGGCGGCCGCCAUGAGGAGGCGCGGCCCCGCGCGCCGGCGGCCCGGAGAGGGCGGGGCUUCCCGCGGGCGCGCAGGCGCAGAGGCUCUUGCGCGGCAGGCUGAUAGUUUUGCAAUCCUUGCGGUGCGGGGUUCCGAGGUGGCGGCUACAGCUUGGGCUCCUCGGCUACCGUUGCUGUGACUGAACGCAUCGCGGCCCACAAACGGUGGCAUAUCGCGCUCUUGCCUGCAACCGUCCUCUCCCGGGGAAGAGCGGGCGCUCGCCUGCCGCGUCAGGGACCUCGGUUGAGCGAUCCCCGCGGGGCUUUGUUCCGCGGCCCAAGGGGUCGUCCCGCGCCGCGGCCCCGGAAGAAGAAACCGGCUGCCUUGGCCACCGACGUGGGACCCCACGCCUAAAGGGGAAGAGGUCCAAGACGCUUCCUUAGGUUUGAACUGCUCUUCAGCAAAACCGGAACGAGUUACAAAAGAUUAUUUUAGUUGAAGAGUCUUUACAUAAAAAAUAAAAGGAAAAUGUCAUUCACGGUU